rnacentral:rRNA from 1 species
AGUGAACGCUGGCGGUAGGCCUAACACAUGCAAGUCGAACGGGAGCACAGUAAGAGCUUGCUCUUACGGGUGGCGAGUGGCGGACGGGUGAGGAAUACAUCGGAAUCUACUUUUUCGUGGGGGAUAACGUAGGGAAACUUACGCUAAUACCGCAUACGACCUACGGGUGAAAGCAGGGGAUCUUCGGACCUUGCGCGAUUGAAUGAGCCGAUGUCGGAUUAGCUAGUUGGCGGGGUAAAGGCCCACCAAGGCGACGAUCCGUAGCUGGUCUGAGAGGAUGAUCAGCCACACUGGAACUGAGACACGGUCCAGACUCCUACGGGAGGCAGCAGUGGGGAAUAUUGGACAAUGGGCGCAAGCCUGAUCCAGCCAUACCGCGUGGGUGAAGAAGGCCUUCGGGUUGUAAAGCCCUUUUGUUGGGAAAGAAAAGCAGCAGGUUAAUACCCCGCUGUUCUGACGGUACCCAAAGAAUAAGCACCGGCUAACUUCGU